rnacentral:rRNA from 1 species
UGCGUAGGCGGAUAUUUUAAGUCAGAUGUGAAAUUCCCGGGCUUAACCUGGGCGCUGCAUUUGAUACUGGAUAUCUAGAGUGCAGGAGAGGAAAGUGGAAUUCCUAGUGUAGCGGUGAAAUGCGUAGAGAUUAGGAAGAACACCAGUGGCGAAGGCGACUUUCUGGACUGUAACUGACGCUGAGGCACGAAAGCGGUGGGGAGCGAACA